GACGAACGCUGGCGGCGUGCUUAACACAUGCAAGUCGAACGGUAAGGCCCUUCGGGGUACACGAGUGGCGAACGGGUGAGUAACACGUGGGUGAUCUGCCCUGCACUUCGGGAUAAGCCUGGGAAACUGGGUCUAAUACCGGAUAGGACUCCGGACUGCAUGGUCUGGGGUGGAAAGCUUUUGCGGUGUGGGAUGGGCCCGCGGCCUAUCAGCUUGUUGGUGGGGUGAUGGCCUACCAAGGCGACGACGGGUAGCCGGCCUGGGAGGGUGACCGGCCACGCUGGGACUGAGAUACGGCCCAGACUCCUACGGGAGGCAGCAGUGGGGAAUAUUGCACAAUGGGCGCAAGCCUGAUGCAGCGACGCCGCGUGAGGGAUGACGGCCUUCGGGUUGUAAACCUCUUUCAGCAUCGACGAAGCGAAAGUGACGGUAGGUGCAGAAGAAGGACCGGCCAACUACGUGCCAGCCGCCGCUGUAA
rnacentral:rRNA from 1 species